GACGAACCGUGCGAACGUUGUUCGGAAUCACUGGGCUUAAAGGGCGCGUAGGCGGACUGCCAAGUCCGGGGUGAAAUCGUUCGGCCUAACCGGACAAUGGCCUUGGAUACUGGCGGUCUGGAGGGAGGUAGGGGCGGGUGGAACUUCCGGUGGAGCGGUGAAAUGCGUUGAUAUCGGAAGGAACGCCGGUGGCGAAAGCGACCCGCUGGACCUUUUCUGACGCUGAGGCGCGAAAGCCAGGGGAGCAAACGGG
rnacentral:rRNA from 1 species